GCAUCAGACGGAUGCCUCGACUCCGAAAUCCGAUGAAGGACGUGGUCAGCUGCGAUAUGCCUCGGUGAGCCGCUAGACAGGCGCUACCAGCCGGGGAUUUCCGAAUGGGGAAACCCAUAUGAGGUUAUGCUCAUAUAUCCCAAAUUUAUUUGGGAAGGUCACUCUGUGAACUGAAACAUCUAAGUAGCAGAGGAAAAUAAAUCAAUAGAGAUUCCCUUAGUAGUGGCGAGCGAAAAGGGAACAGUCCAAACCUCAUUAUUUUAUGAUGGGGGGUUGUAGGACUCCUACAUGUAAUUAGUUCUUCUUAGGCAAACGACCUUGGAACGGGCGGCCAUAGAGGGUGAGAGCCCCGUCGCCGAAAAGAUGAACUAUACUGGGAGAUUCCUGAGUAAGGUCAGACACGUGAAAUCUGGCCCGAAUCUGGGUGGACCACCAUCCAAGACUAAACAGUUUCGGAGAUCAAUAGCGGAUAGUACCGUGAGGGAAAGGUGAAAAGCACCCCGGAAGGGGGAUGAAAUAGUUUCUGAAAUCUGAUGCGUUCAAAGAAUGGGAGCACCUUUAUGGUGUGACCGUGUGCCUUUUGCAUAAUGAGCCAACGAGUUGCUCGUCUGUGGUCGGCUAAGGGAUUCAACUCCCGGAGCCAGAGCGAAAGCGAGUCCGAAUAGGGCGUAUAUGAUCGCAGGUGGCAGACCCGAAACCGGGUGAGCUACCCAUGGGCAGGGUGAAGGUUAGCGGAAGCUAACUGGAGGCCCGCACCCACGCAUGUCACAAGAUGCGGGGAUGACCUGUGGGUAGGGGUGAAAAGCCUACCGAACCCGGAGAUAGCUGGUUCUCCUCGAAAUGCCUUUAGGGGCAGCCUCUUCGUGCACGAUUGGGGGUAGAGCUACUGUUUGGAUGAGGGGGUCUUCCCGACCUACCGAUUCCUGAUAAACUCCGAAUACCAAUUCUUAGACGAAGGGAGUGAGACGGUGACGGCGAAUCGCCAUCGUCAAAAGGGAAACAACCCAGACCAUUUGCUAAGGUCCCUAAAUAAUACUCAGUGGAAAAGGUAGUGCGAUUGCUCCGACAACCAGGAGGUUGGCUUAGAAGCAGCCAUCCUUUAAAGAAAGCGUAACAGCUCACUGGUCGAGGAGUCGUGCGCCGAAAAUUCAACGGGGCAAAGUAUUAUACCGAAGCAAUGGAUACGUAUUUAUACGUAUGGUAGAGGAGCGUUCCGUUCAGCAGUGAAGCUGUGCUGUGAGGCAUGGUGGAGCGGACGGAAGUGAGAAUGUUGGCAUGAGUAACUACUAGGCAGGUGAAAACCCUGCCCACCGAAUUCCCAAGGUUUCCCACGCAACGGCAAUCGGCGUGGGGUUAGUCGGUCCUAAGGCCAGGCCGAAAGGCGUAACCGAUGGACAACAGGUCAAUAUUCCUGUACUUCGUAAAGAUCGCCCAAGGGUGUUUGAAGAUAGUUUUGUUAGCCUCUGUGACUUUAUUGUCAUAUGUUGAUGAGAAAGGAUUCUUUCAUUCUAGGAGCGGUGGGACGGAGUGGGAAGACCAGAGCGUGUGUAUUGACUGCACGUGUAACACGUUAGUUGUUGAGACUCGUAGGAAAAUCCGCGAGUUGAGGCGAGCGUGGAUACCAAUUGCUUCGCUUCGGCGGAGUUAGUCUGACUCUUUGCGCUUCCAAGAAAAGCAUCGCUUCCGAGAGCUUUACGAAUCCGUACCGCAAACCAACACCGGUGGGAUGGUCGAGUAGACCAAGGUGAACGAGAGAUCUCGCGUUAAGGAACUCGGCAAAAUAGCGUCCGUAACUUCGGGAUAAGGACUGACGGCUCGCAAUCGCGAGUCGCCCGCAGCAAAAGAGAUCAGGCGACUGUUUACCAAAAACACAGGUCCAUGCUGAAGUCGCAAGACGACGUAUAUGGGCUGAUGCCUGCCCAGUGUCAGAAGGUUACGUGAGGAGGUGCAAGCUUCCGAUCUAAGCCCUGAUGAACGGCGGCCGUAACUAUAACGGUCCUAAGGUAGCGAAAUUCCUUGUCGGGUAAGUUCCGACCCGCACGAAUGGUAUAACGGUCUGAUCACUGUCUCAACGCGAGACUCGGUGAAAUUGCAGUCCCGGUGCAAAUGCCGGGUAGAUGAUGGAAGGACGAAAAGACCCUAUGAAGCUUUACUAUAAGCUGGCAUUGUAUUUUUGACUUAUAUGUGCAGGAUAGGUGGGAGACUUUGAAGCAGUGGCGUUAGCCACUGUGGAGUCACUGUUGAGAUACCACCCUUGUAUUUUGAAAAUACUCACCCUAUGUGUGACACGCACUGGGGGACAGUGCUUGCCGGGUAGUUUAACUGGGGCGGUUGCCUCCUAAAAUGUAACGGAGGCGUGCAAUGGUCCACUAGCACCGGAUGGAAAUCGGUGUUGUCGUAUAAUCGCAUAAGUGGGCCUGACUGUGAGACUAACAAGUCGAGCAGGGACGAAAGUCGGUGAUAGUGAUCCGGUGCCCGAGCACUUUAAACUGCUCAAACCACGUGGGUGGGGCAUCGCUCACCGGAUAAAAGUUACUCUAGGGAUAACAGGCUGAUCGCUCCCAAGCGCCCAUAGCGACGGAGCGGUUUGGCACCUCGAUGUCGGCUCAUCGCAUCCUGGGACUGAAGAAGGCCCCAAGGGUUUGGCUGUUCGCCAAUGAAAGCGGUACGCGAGCUGGGUUCAGAACGUCGUGAGACAGUUUGGCCUCUAUCCUCCAUCAUCAUUUAGAAACGUGAAGGAAUCUGUUCCUAGUACGAGAGGACCGGAAUGGACGAACCUCUGGUGUACCUAUUGUCGUGUCAACGGCAGAGUAGGAUAGCUAUGUUCGGCAGGGAUAACCGCUGAAAGCAUCUAAGUGGGAAGCCCCUCCUAAGAUAACGUUUCUCCAUAAGUCCGCCGGAAGAUGACCGGCUAGAUCGGCUACAAGUGUACGCACGGCAACGUGUUCAGCUGAGUAGUACGAAUGGAC
rnacentral:rRNA from 1 species